rnacentral:rRNA from 1 species
UGUUUCGGCUAGGGGGCCAUCCCGGCUUACCAACCCGAUGCAAACUGCGAAUACCGGAGAAUGUUAUCACGGGAGACACACGGCGGGUGCUAACGUCCGUCGUGAAGAGGGAAACAACCCAGACCGCCAGCUAAGGUCCCAAAGUCAUGGUUAAGUGGGAAACGAUGUGGGAAGGCCCAGACAGCCAGGAUGUUGGCUUAGAAGCAGCCAUCAUUUAAAGAAAGCGUAAUAGCUCACUGGUCGAGUCGGCCUGCGCGGAAGAUGUAACGGGGCUAAACCAUGCACCGAAGCUGCGGCAGCGAACGUAUCACUUAAAGCGAUUCAGCGGGUUACGAUUGACGGAGCGAAGCGACGUCAAAGCGUAUACAAAGUCGAGUCGGUUUAAGGAUACGUUCGUUGGGUAGGGGAGCGUUCUGUAAGCCUGUGAAGGUGGCCUGUGAGGGUUGCUGGAGGUAUCAGAAGUGCGAAUGCUGACAUAAGUAACGAUAAAGCGGGUGAAAAGCCCGCUCGCCGGAAGACCAAGGGUUCCUGUCCAACGUUAAUCGGGGCAGGGUGAGUCGACCCCUAAGGCGAGGCCGAAAGGCGUAGUCGAUGGGAAACAGGUUAAUAUUCCUGUACUUGGUGUUACUGCGAAGGGGGGACGGAGAAGGCUAUGUUGGCCGGGCGACGGUUGUCCCGGUUUAAGCGUGUAGGCUGGUUUUCCAGGCAAAUCCGGAAAAUCAAGGCUGAGGCGUGAUGACGAGGCACUACGGUGCUGAAGCAACAAAUGCCCUGCUUCCAGGAAAAGCCUCUAAGCAUCAGGUAACAUCAAAUCGUACCCCAAACCGACACAGGUGGUC